UACGGAGGGUGCAAGCGUUAUCCGGAUUCACUGGGUUUAAAGGGUGCGUAGGCGGACAUGUAAGUCAGCGGUGAAAUCCCCGAGCUUAACUUGGGAACUGCCGUUGAUACUAUAUGUCUUGAAUGUCGUGGAGGUUAGCGGAAUAUGUCAUGUAGCGGUGAAAUGCUUAGAUAUGACAUAGAACACCCAUUGCGAAGGCAGCUAACUACGCGAAUAUUGACGCUGAGGCACGAAAGCGUGGGGAUCAAACAGG
rnacentral:rRNA from 1 species